rnacentral:tRNA from 2 species
AGCCCUGUGGUGUAAUUGGCAACACAUCUGAAUUUGGCUCAGAUGACUCCAGGUUCGAGUCCUGGCGGGGCUG